UACGUAGGGGCCAAGCGUUGUCCGGAUUUAUUGGGCGUAAAGAGCGUGUAGGCGGUUUGGUAGGUCCGUUGUGAAAACUCGAGGCUCAACCUCGAGACGCCGGCGGAAACCAUCAGGCUAGAGUCCGGAAGAGGAGAGUGGAAUUCCUGGUGUAGCGGUGAAAUGCGCAGAUAUCAGGAAGAACACCCGUGGCUAAGGCGGCUCUCUAGUACGGUACUGACGCUGAGACGCGAAAGCGUGGGGAGCGAACAGG
rnacentral:rRNA from 1 species